rnacentral:rRNA from 1 species
CCCUUAGAUGUUCUGGGCCGCACACGCGCUACACUGAAGGAGGCAGCGUGUACUCCUGGAUCGAAAGAUUUGGGUAACCCGCGAAUCUCCUUCGUGCUAGGGAUUGAGGUUUGCAAUUAUCCUUCAUGAACGAGGAAUUCCCAGUAAGUGCAAGUCAUAAGCUUGCGCUGACUACGUCCCUGCCCUUUGUGCACACCGCCCGUCGCUACUACCGAUUGAAUGAUUUAGUGAGGACUUCGGACUGGGACCGAUGCGGCUUUCGGGCUGCGUCGGUAUUCUGGAAAGAUGUCCAAACUGUAUCAUUUAGAGGAAGUAAAAGUCGUANCA